rnacentral:rRNA from 1 species
GACGAACGCUGGCGGCGCGCUUAACACAUGCAAGUCGAGCGAAGCGGCGGACGGGUGAGUAACACGUGAGUAACCUGCCUUAGACAUUGGGAUAGCCUCGGGAAACCGGGAUCAAUACCAAAUGGUCUAAGAUGGACUCGCGUCCCACUAGCUAUUUGCUGAGGUAACGGGCCACCAAGGCGACGAUGAGUAGCCGGCCAGAGAGGGUGAACGGCCACAUUGGAGCUGAGAGCCGAUCCAAACUCUACGGGAGACAGCAGUGGGGAAUAUUGCACAAUGGAAGGAAUACUGAUGCAACGACGCCGAGCGAACGAGAAAGGCUUUCGAGUCGUAAAGUGCUUUUAUAUGUGAAGCGGAACCAUAAGAAAAGGCCCCUGCUAAAUACGUGCCAACAGCCGCGGUAUUUC